UACGUAGGUGACCAGCGUUGUCCGGAUUUACUGGGCGUAAAGAGCGCGCAGGCGGUCGUUCAAGUCGAGUGUGAAAGCCCCCGGCUCAACUGGGGAGGGUCAUUCGAUACUGAUCGACUGGAAGGCAGGAGAGGGAAGCGGAAUUCCCGGUGUAGUGGUGAAAUGCGUAGAGAUCAUGAGGAAGACCAGUGGCGAAGGCGGGUCUCUGGACAGUUCCUGACACUGAGACACGAAGGCCAGGGGAGCAAACGGG
rnacentral:rRNA from 1 species